UGAUUAUGGUCAUUAUGUAAACCGAAUUACGAACAAAAGUUUGUUUGGUAACUAAUUAUAGCUCACGAAAUCUCUUCCUCUUUCACUUCAGCAUAAUGUAUACAAACUUUUGAACACGCAGAUCAGAAUAAAACAAAGUGUUGACAGCAUCCAGCAGUGGAAAUUCACUUACACAAGACUUUUUUUCACUGAAGUGUUGACAAUAAACAUUUAAUGAAGGCAGAGACUUGGAUGUCUCCAGACAGUGUCAGAAUACUUUAAACAGACCAUUAGCAUGGCUUCUUCUACUUCAAACAGAGCACACUAUACCAUAACAUUAUAAAAAUACAAAGUAUGAAACAAAUAAUCUGUUUAUACAGAUAUUUUAAGAUGUUUUCACCAGCUCUGACAUCCCCUGUAUUUAGUAACAGAAACUUACUCAUUUCAGAUUACUCGCGCUUAAAAAAUGUUAAAUACAGUUAAUGCAAUAUUAAUCGCCCUUUGGUGAUAUAAAAUGCAAUAUUUUCAGGCAGCUAUCGAGCUUUUCUAGAGGAAGAGCUGAUGAAAACAGUCACAGCUGAAUAGUGGAGAGAAAAAAGCUCUGUAUUUAUUGCUUUUGUUUGGCUUUUGGCUACAGAGACAGGAACAUUCUAAUGGGAUCAGAGAGCGUUUCUGAGGUCCUGAGUCUGGCGGAGUGCCCAUGUGGUGUGGCAUCUCCUCAAUGUCAAGGUUUGUCAAGGAAACCUGUGACCACUGGUUGAACAGGAACUGUGGAGAACUGCCACAGGGCACAUGAUGACCUCAUGAACCACCCUUUAGACUUCCAGUGCUUCUGGCUUUAAUAUUCUGUGCUAGAUUCACAGAGCUCUUCUACAGAUGCUAAGCGUUCAAUCCUGAAGGCUCCACUUCAUCAUCAGGUAAUUAGUAUUUUCAUUAACUUGCUUAUUGUCAA